rnacentral:tRNA from 1 species
UUAAUUGAAACCAAAAAGAGGUAACUUGUUGUUAACAAGAUUAAUGAAUUAAAUUCCAAUUAAA